CCCGAACACCUUAAACGAACUGCAAAAAUCCCGUAAAAAGAGAAUAAUCAGAAAAAAAAAACCUAAGCUUAUGCAACGAGAAGGAGAAGCGCCGGAAGUGCGGUGCCUACCUCCGAGAAGGGAGGUCGCGGCCUGCGCCAAGGCAAGGAAAGCGCGCGCCCGGAGAAGGGGUGGGAGCUCGGCCACGGCGUCGGGGUCCGCCGCCGCCGCCGCGAGCAGAUGGGAGAGAUGGUCCCCUACGGAUUCGGUAUAUCCGAGCGUCUCCUCGGCAGCUGAGACCACAGACGACGGAACUGCCGAGGCGGUGUCGGAGGCCAUGGUUCUGGUGGACGAAGACGGCGGCGAGGAAUUCAGGGUGGUGGGUCCUCUGAGUGAAC
rnacentral:misc_RNA from 1 species